rnacentral:rRNA from 1 species
CCUACGGGUGGCACCAGUGAGGAAUAUUGGACAAUGGUGAGAGCCUGAUCCAGCCAUCCCGCGUGAAGGACGACGGCCCUAUGGGUUGUAAACUUCUUUUGUAUAGGGAUAAACCUACCCUCGUGAGGGUAGCUGAAGGUACUAUACGAAUAAGCACCGGCUAACUCCGUGCCAGCAGCCGCGGUAAUACGGAGGGUGCAAGCGUUAUCCGGAUUUAUUGGGUUUAAAGGGUCCGUAGGCGGAUCUGUAAGUCAGUGGUGAAAUCUCACGGCUUAACUGUGAAACUGCCAUUGAUACUGCAGGUCUUGAGUGUUGUUGAAGUAGCUGGAAUAAGUAGUGUGGCGGUGAAAUGCAUAGAUAUUACUUAGAACACCAAUUGCGAAGGCAGGUUACUAAGCAACAACUGACGCUGAGGAGCGAAAGCGUGGGGAGCAAACAGGAUUAGAUACCCGGGUAGUC